UCCAAAUGCACAGAAAAACGAAAACCCUAGUUUAUCUAAAACUGGGAAAAUGGGAAAAUGGAAAAAUGUCUCCGUGAAAGUCUCUAAAAAAAAGUAUUUACAUGGCAGGAGCCCCUUUUUAUAGGGUUGUAAAGAAAGAAGAAAAAAUUUAACAAACAGAAAAGAAAAAGGAAAAAAAUGGAAAAGAGAAACUUGCUUGCUACGCUAAGCUUCAUCCGAC
rnacentral:lncRNA from 1 species